UGCCACAGCUAUAUUACCCUGCAGCCCAAGACCGGUUACUCACUGAAGCUAAGCAGGGCUGAGCCUAUCAGUACCUGGAUGAGAAACCACAUGGGAAUACGCUACAAUUACUGAAGUAA
rnacentral:rRNA from 1 species